GAUGAACGCUGGCGGCGUGCCUAAUACAUGCAAGUCGAGCGAAUGGAUUAAGAGCUUGCUCUUAUGAAGUUAGCGGCGGACGGGUGAGUAACACGUGGGUAACCUGCCCAUAAGACUGGGAUAACUCCGGGAAACCGGGGCUAAUACCGGAUAACAUUUUGAACCGCAUGGUUCGAAAUUGAAAGGCGGCUUCGGCUGUCACUUAUGGAUGGACUCGCGUCGCAUUAGCUAGUUGGUGAGGUAACGGCUCACCAAGGCAACGAGGCGUAGCCGACCUGAGAGGGUGAUCGGCCACACUGGGACUGAGACACGGCCCAGACUCCUACGGGAGGCAGCAGUAGGGAAUCUUCCGCAAUGGACGAAAGUCUGACGGAGCAACGCCGCGUGAGUGAUGAAGGCUUUCGGGUCGUAAAACUCUGUUGUUAGGGAAGAACAAGUGCUAGUUGAAUAAGCUGGCACCUUGACGGUACCUAACCAGAAAGCCACGGCUAACUACGUGCCAGCCGCCGCGGUAA
rnacentral:rRNA from 1 species